AGGCCGUAAACCCAAGGUUUCCAGGGGAAGGUUCGUCCGCCCUGGGUUAGUCGGGACCUAAGCUGAGGCCGAAAGGCGUAGGUGAUGGACAACAGGUUGAUAUUCCUGUACUACCGAUAACCGUUUGAGAGCAGGGAUGACACAGUAGGAUAAGCUAAGCACACUGUUGGUUAUGUGUGCCCAAGCAUUGAGGCAGUCAAAGUAGGCAAAUCCGCUUUGAUAAUGCUGGGAUGUGAUGGGGAGCGAAAUUUAGUAGCGAA
rnacentral:rRNA from 1 species